rnacentral:rRNA from 1 species
ACAAGGUACCAUGCUACCCUGAACAGGCCCGAUCACCUCUGAUCUUGGAAGCUAAGCAGGGUCGGACCUGGUUAGCAUUUGGAUGGGAGACCACCUAGAAAGACUAGGUGCCGUAGGCA